rnacentral:lncRNA from 1 species
GAAAUAAACCAUAAUGUCAUGUGGAAGAUGGUUUGGUUUUCUCUUUAACCUGACAUUACACAUGUCGCCUUGAGAGGUGUACACCUUACCUAGAUGAAGGUAUCAUUGCACAAAAAAAAAAUUAACAGUACUUAUCUAAACAGUUGGUAUUUUAUAAUAUCAGUGCUGAGAAAUCUUCAUCACAUGAGGCUGCACCUGGAUUUUUAAAAAUAGAAAUCAUUCAGUUGGUCAUGGUGAUGCAUGCCUGUAAUCUCAACUACUCUGGAGGCUAAAGUGGGAUUGCAAGUUUGAGGCCAACCUCAGGAAUUUAAUGAGACCCUGUCUCAAAAAAAAAAAAAAAAUGGCGAAGAAUGUAGGUCAAUGGUAAAGUGCACCUGGGUUCAAUCCCUUGUACCACCAAAACAAAAAGUCAUUAGAGACAAAUCUAGUGAAUGAAGUCAAAUCAUUCCCGUUUUGGUGAAAGUAAUGAGAAGUUUUCCUGUGAGAAGGAAGGUGAAAGCAAUUUCAAAAAGAAAAGUCCAAAAUUCUCUCAAGGAGAGUCAAUUUCUCUUAAGAAUUGCUUUUAUUUCAAAGAUCACCAUUUUAUAUACGGUUGUACUUAAUAAGUUUCAAUGUAUUGGAUAAAAAGAUCCUCAUUAUUAUGAUAGAUAACUUUUGUGUGAAGAGAUUUACAUACCUUUACAUUUGUCUCCACUGAACACCAUACAUUACCUUUGUCAAAUGUGCAUAGUUAUACGUGUGUGAUGUGUAGAGAGGUCAGCCCCUUCUAGGAGUAAUGAAAGAUUUAUUUCACAGGUUUAAAAUAGUAAUAUUUAGGGCUAGGGUAUAGAUCAGUGGUAGAGAACCUGCCUAGCAUGUGCAGGGCCUGAUUCAAUCCCAGUACCCCAAACAAAAAAAUAAUAAUAAUAAUGUGUAAUAAGGAUACUGAAUGUAUUGCAUGUUAAGGAGAUUUCAGAACUCUUUCCUAUAGUAAAUAUAGUAGUCUAAAAUAUUUUGAUUAAAUAUUUUUCUAAUAAAUUUUUUAUUUCCUUAUUUUAAAAAUUACAUCCAGCAUCACAAUUAUCUAGGAUAACAUAAGAUAUGAACAAUAGAGAAUAUUAUAUAACUAUUACGAAUAGUAGUAGCAUGGUGCCAUCCACCUAAUCUAGUGGCUAGGGAAUCUGAGGCACGAGGAUCACAAAUUCAAAAGUCAGCCCCAGCAACUUAGGGAGGUCUUAAGCAACUUAUGAAGACCUUGUCUCAAAAAAUAUAUAAAAAGGUAGGAGAUGUGAUUUCAUGGGUUCAAUCCCUAGUACCCAUCCACAAAAAGCAAAUAACAUUAGUUAGCGUGUUUUAAAUCUUACAUGUGAGAAUCAAAGUUGACUGUUUUUCCUGUGUUAAUUCUCUCAAACCACUUCUAUCUAUGAUGAGAACAUUUUAACUUAUUUGCAAAUCCCUGGAUCAGGUUGAAAUAUGACAUGUUUAUAUGAAAUAAUGUUAAAUUUUCCAAAAUCAAAAAUAUAUGCUCUAUACAGACCGUCUCCAACUCAAUGAUGGUUCAUCUUAAGAUUUUUUUACUUUAUGUUAUUUUUUACUUUAUGUUGCCAAAGCAAUAUGCAUUCAAUAGAAAACAUACUUUGAAUUUUUAAAAUUUUUUUUAGUUGUCAAUGGGCUUUAUUUAUUUACUUAUUUAUAUGUGGUGCUGAGAAUGGAAUCCAGUGCCUCACACACAUGCUAGGCAAGCGCUCUACUACUGAGCUACAACUCCAGUUCUGUACUUUGAAUUUAUUUUAAUGUUUUUUUUAUUUUUUAGUUGUAGAUGGACAAAAUACCUCCAUUUCGUUUGUUUUUAUGUGGUGCUGAGGAUCGAACCCAGUGCCUCACUUGUGCAAGGCAGGCGCUCUACCACUCAGCCCCAGCCCCAGCCCUGUACUUUGAAUUUUUACCUUUUCCUGGGCUAGCCAUAUGCAGUACAAUACACUGCAUUUUCUUGCAAUGCUGGGCAGCAACAACAAGAUGUAUCUUCCAGUCAGCUGCAAGAUCAUGAGGAGAAACAACCAAUACUCUGCAGUGUACUGUGUUGCUAAACAGGAUAUUUGGUAGGUUAUUAUUAAAUGUACUUUUGAUUUAUGAUAUGUUUAGAUUAGAGUGGAUUUAUUGGGACAAAAUCCCAUCAUAAGUCAUAGGGCAUCUAUAUGUGUGUGUGUAUAUAUAUAUAUACACAUACACGCACACACACACACACACAACAAUUUAUUUUUCUUUUGUUUGUUUGGUAGUACUGGAUAUUGUAUCCAAGGACACUCUAUCACUGAACUACAUCCUACAGACUCUGUUUUUUUGAGACAAGGCCUUGCCUCAGCAUCCUGAAUCUCUGGGAUUACAGACAUGAGCCAAUGCACCCAGCAAUUUCAGUAACAGAAGUAUAAAGACAUUUGCAGGGAUGUGAAUAUGUGAAUUAAUGUUCUUUAGGUCAUUCCUCUUUUAAAAGGACUUAUGAUCAUAUUUUCUAAUUUAUGUUUUCUAAAGUCCUGAAUCAGUCUUUAGUUCUCACUUGUACAGAGGCCCCUCAAUCACUUCACAUAAGCUUGUUGUUGCUUGAUUUAACAUAGACAACUCCUUCCAGCUUUUCGAUUCUAUGCCUUAAAUAAUUCUUCAGUAUUAGCAAUCACAUAGUUUUGAUCUCAAUAUUAUGAUUUCACUUAAGUUCCCAAAAAAGAUUUUUUCAUUUUACAUAAUUUUGAUUCUGUUAGUGACAUAUAUCACACAUACUUUGGUCUGUUACCAACCAGAUGUAAGAUGUAAAAAGUAAGUGCUAAAUACAUCAUUCUGCCUUCAUUCAUUGGUAUAAAAGUGGUCAUCCCUUAGGCUUGCUGCUCUUCCCACCUGUACUUAGAAAUUUAGACUUAGUAAUACCAACUCUCUCAAAUCAUUCCUGUUUUACAGGUAAACUUGACAGCUUACAGAAUUUCUGUAACAACAUUUUGAAUUUCUGAGAGUGCAAAACUUGAAAAAGAACUGACCUGCCUAGUUUCUUCAGCCUAUUGAAUGUUUUUAGUCCUUUCUCUUUAAUGUUGCCACCUUAACAAUCCUUCCAGCUACGCAUUUUAAAAGAUGUGAUGGAGAAGUUAUCAGCUGGUGUUUUUAGGUAUGCUAAAGUGCCAAAUCAUUUUUAUUUUUCUAUUCUCCAGGAGAUAAUGUUUUUGUUUCAGCUUUUGCAGUAUACCUGUUGCCUCCAUAUCUUAUUUAGUUUAGAUAAACAUUUACCGCUUAAUAUUUCUCAAAGUAUAUCUGGUGUUAUACCAGUAAGUUUACCCGAAGAUAGAAAUGUCCUAUGAGUUUCCUGCCUUCUGUUCCUUUCUGUACUUCACUCUUUGCAUUUUCUCAUCACCCCUCCCAAAUAAUCCAUAGCUUGAAAAGAGGGAAAAAUACAAUAUGUUUAAGUUGAAUCAGUUUACCACUUAGAAUGGAUAAAGAAGGUAUUUUUCCCCUUGAAAAUUUAACCAAUUUUAACAGUGGAAUACUAAUGGACAAGUUUGACCUAUUUUAAAAUAAUAUAGCUAAACUAAGGAAACUGUCAACUAUUGUCCAGUGUGUUCUGAACAUUUGUGACGUUUGUAAUAAUUUUUCUCUCCAGACCUCAGUUGGAUGAACCUAUUCCACUGUACGAGGCAAAAGUUUCCAUGGAAGUUGUUCAAAAAAAUCAAGGAAGAAAAAAGCAAGUUGUUCAAUUUUAAUCUUCUUCUUUCUCAGACCUCAGCUGGAUGAACCAUCACAGUAUUUGAAGCCAGAGUUUUCCUUGGAAAUUGGGAAAAAUCAAGGAAGAUAAAAGCAAGUUGUUCAGUGUUUAAGCAUGUUUUCUGGUUCACAAGAUGUUUGGUUAUUUGACAUAUUUGAAAAAUAUUUUCCAAUUUAUUGUGCAGAUGAUCCAAGAUAAUUCUAUAACAUUUGAAGGGGGUACUCUGGAAGCCAUUUUUAAUUUUUUUUUUUUCCCCCACACAUUUUCCUCUCCUAUAAAAUUCUUCUAAUGGGAAAAACUUCUGCUUUCAGCAAAAUCCACACCAUUCUACUGAGCCUGUUACAGGCCUUGUUAUACUGUGAAAGUAAUGCUAUUAAUUAUGUAUUAAUUCCAUUUUAAACAACUUAACAAGCCUUUCUGUGCUGUCAAAAUUCAAGUUUUUCAAUAUAUUUUCAGGUCUCAAAAGUAUCUAACUCAUAUACACUUAAAUUUUGUUUUGAAAUAUUCAUUCAUUUCGAGUUUCUUCAGGAACAAGGAUCACAGGAACUUGUCCUGUGGGAGCUGUGGAGAAUUUGCGUGAAGGGCUGGGACUGCCUGGCCUUGGGAAAAGGGUACUGAGCUUGAAGUGUGCUGUUUUCUGAGUUCUCUGUUGGGGAAGGAGGGCAUGGGGUAGGCGCUGGCCCUGUCACCACCUCUAUGGACGCAGCAGCCCAUCACAGCGGCCCCAGAGCCAGACCGCUACCCCUGGUGAUGACUUCCCUACUGCAGACUUGAGUAGCGUUCAGCCAUUUCGAUGCCCAGUGGGGUAGUGCACACCUGCCCUGGGCCAAGUGCUGCCCGCAGUCGCCUCGUCUCACGGCAGGACCACAGCCCAGAACCUGGCUGGAGCGCCCUGAGGAAC